rnacentral:lncRNA from 1 species
AAGCUCAUACAUUUCUAUAACUAGAAAGUUCUUUUCAAUUUACUACCUCUCUGGGCUAUCAUAUUAACCCGUUAAGGACAGAAUCUUAAAAACUUUGUUUGCACCAAAAUAUUUUAUAAAUCAUUUAUUAUUUGCUUAUUUUCAAAUUGCUUAUAAUCACCUUCUGAAAAAAAUGACACAAACAUCAUUUUCUGUGAAGAAAUUUUCUGGUGUCCAGAUAACAUCUGAAACAUUGAAUAUUUGAUAAAAUUUCCUAGUUUAACGUCCUCCCUCUCAGUAACACCUUUCACUGGAAAUUGUGUAUUUACUCAGUUUAUCCCUACUUGCUUCUCUAACACAAUUAUUAUUCUUUUAGCUUUUCAAAAACCCUGUUUUAAAAUUAUAUUGAUUUAGUGUGUCUGUCUUUAAUAGAGUAGAAAUCCUCAACUGCUUUCCUUUGUAUGUCACCUGUUAAGCGUGAUUGUUAAACUGCAAUAGAACAUCCAGUUAAUUAGAAGAGUCAAGACUCUAUCCUGGCAUCGCCCACCUCCGAAAUUCAGCCACUUCGUGGAUAAAAAGCAACAGCUGUGAGAAAGCAGAGCGCUGCUAACAUUGCACACCUGGGCAAGGCAGGCAAUAAAUGGAAAGACUUUCUCUAUCUCAAUUUGCAGGGGCUUGUGGGGGUGGUGGUUUAAAAGCUGGAAUGUAAUGACCCCACUUGGGAAUCUGAACCAAAAACUCAGGGUUAAAUCCUGCCUUAUGAUACAAGAUGGAUACGGCCAUUAUCAAAGAGAAAGUCUGCUGAGCACCAGGCCAGAGCACAUCCUUGGGGAGGAGAGAGAGGCUGCCUCCUAUAGCAUUACUGCAGGUGCCAGCCACAGAGUAACUCCAUUCUCUUCUGGGUAGACCCAAGCUGGACCUACCAGAAGACUAUUUCACCUGAGGAACCAAAGGCACUCACUCCACAUACGCCUGACGCAGCGGGAGCAGAUUCGGGCAAUUACAAUCAAGUCAGGGCACACGCCGCGGCGGAGCAACACGGGCAUGAUGAGGAUACUGAUGAGGCACUUAUCGAAAACCCCGCAUCAUCCACACUCAUCAGCCACAACAUGUCACCCCAAAUGAGGCAUCAGCUGCCUUCAAAAGGCUCAUUGCACAGUGUUUACCGCUUCCCUCGGACCCACUUUUGAUUUUACGGUCAGAGCUGGGUUCAAACAGCAGCUGUCUGGCAAAGACAGGUCUGCGGCUUCCAGCAGCUUCCCCCAGAGUCCUGGGGCUUUGUCUGGAGAGCUUUGGGGAGCAGGGCCCGGCAGGGCGAGGGGACGCGGGAAGGCAGAGAAGCGUCCAGUUCCGUUUCUCGCAAAGAGGAAUUUCUUUCCCAGAAGCGGCCCUUGAUUAAUUUCAAGCGCUAGCGCACAGUGGUGACAUAAUGGGGGUGGGGGAGGGGAGCGAAAGAGGGAGCCUUUCACAGAUCUCCUUAAAAUAGUAACAGGGUGGGUGGGACCUCUCACGCAGACACAAGUCUCAGAAGGGUCAAUCCCUUUGGAAAAGACAGCUCCAACCAGGAGAGCCGUUCAAGUGGUAAUUUUUAAUUCUUUCAUCAUCAACUCAUUCUUGGGUUGUUGGGGGGGCAGGGAGGCAUUUAUUAGCAAUUUAGGAGGCCUUUAUUUCAAACACCCUGUUUUUCUGCUAUAAAAGGAAGUGGAUAUAUUCCUAGUAAUACUCCUUAAAACUAUUCUUUGUUGCUUUGGGUUAAUGCAACUUGAAGCUAAACACUUGGGGGGAUCUAUUUGCUUACACUGAAAAUAAAAGAACGUGAA